rnacentral:rRNA from 1 species
CCCUUAGAUGGUCUGGGCGGCACGCGCGCUACAAUGAUGCAUUCAAAAAGUCUUCUGACCUUAGAAGGUUGGGUAUUCUCCAAAGUGCAUCGUGAUGGGAAUAGUUUGUUGCAAUUUUUAAUCUUGAACGAGGAAUUCCUAGUAAGUACAGGUCAUCAACUUGUGUUGAUUACGUCCCUGCCCUUUGUACACACCGCCCGUCGCUCCUACUGAUUGAGUGUCUCGGUGAAUUCUUUGAUCUUCUGUCGAUUCAGUUCACUGAUCCGACGGUGGAAAGUUGAAUGAACUUCGUCACUUAGAGGAAGGAGAAGUCGUAACA